rnacentral:tRNA from 1 species
GAGGGUACAGCUCAGUGGUAGAGUGCAUGCUUAGCAUGCAUGAGGUCCUGGGUUCAAUCUCCAGUACCUCCA